rnacentral:piRNA from 2 species
GACCAUAAAAGCAGGUGGGCUGGUGGGGAU